GAGUUUGAUCCUGGCUCAGGAUGAACGCUGGCGGCGUGCCUAACACAUGCAAGUCGAACGAAGCAAUCGGGAUGAAGUUUUCGGAUGGAUUCCUGGUUGACUGAGUGGCGGACGGGUGAGUAACGCGUGGAUAACCUGCCUCACACUGGGGGAUAACAGUUAGAAAUGGCUGCUAAUACCGCAUAAGCGCACAGUACCGCAUGGUACGGUGUGAAAAACCCAGGUGGUGUGAGAUGGAUCCGCGUCUGAUUAGCCAGUUGGCGGGUAACGGCCCACCAAAGCGACGAUCAGUAGCCGACCUGAGAGGGUGACCGGCCACAUUGGGACUGAGACACGGCCCAAACUCCUACGGGAGCAGCAGUGGGGAAUAUGCACAAUGGGCGAAAGCCUGAUGCAGCGACGCGCGUGAGUGAAGAAGUAUCUCGGUAUGUAAAGCUCUAUCAGCAGGGAAGAAAUGACGGUACCUGACUAAGAAGCCCGGCUAACUACGUGCCAGCAG
rnacentral:rRNA from 1 species